rnacentral:rRNA from 1 species
UAAAAUUCCAGGUGUAGCGGUGAAAUGCGUAGAGAUCUGGAGGAAUACCGAUGGCGAAGGCAGCCAUCUGGCCUAAUACUGACACUGAGGUGCGAAAGCAUGGGGAGCAAACAGGAUUAGAUACCCUGGUAGUCCAUGCCGUAAACGAUGUCUACUAGCCGUUGGGGCCUUUGAGGCUUUAGUGGCGCAGCUAACGCGAUAAGUAGACCGCCUGGGGAGUACGGCCGCAAGACUAAAACUCAAAUGAAUUGACGGGGGCCCGCACAAGCGGUGGAGCAUGUGGUUUAAUUCGAUGCACCGCGAAGAACCUUACCUGGUCUUGACAUAGUAAGAACUUUCCAGAGAUGGAUUGGUGCCUUCGGGAACUUACAUACAGGUGCUGCAUGGCUGUCGUCAGCUCGUGUCGUGAGAUGUUGGGUUAAGUCCCGCAACGAGCGCAACCCUUUUCCUUAUUUGCCAGCGGGUUAAGCCGGGAACUUUAAGGAUACUGCCAGUGACAAACUCGAGGAAGGCGGGGACGACGUCAAGUCAUCAUGGCCCUUACGACCAGGGCUACACACGUGCUACAAUGGUCGGUACAAAGGGUUGCUACCUCGCGAGAGGAUGCUAAUCUCAAAAAGCCGA